rnacentral:rRNA from 1 species
UGCGUAGGCGGAUUAAUAAGUCAGUGGUGAAAACCUGCAGCUUAACUGCAGACCUGCCAUUGAUACUGUUAGUCUUGAGUACGGUCAAGGUAGGCGGAAUGUGUAAUGUAGCGGUGAAAUGCUUAGAUAUUACACAGAACACCGAUUGCGAAGGCAGCUUACUGGGCCAUUACUGACGCUGAGGCACGAAAGCGUGGGGAGCGAACAGGAUUAGAUACCAUGGUAGUCC